UCAUUUUCCAUCGGGAAAGGUUUUGCUAAGUAGCAGAUUAAUAGGGAAUCGUGUGCAAUUCACGAGCUGUCGCGCAACUGUAAGUAACACUUCAAGUUUAUAUCGGUUAUAUCCACUGGAGAUAACUGACUGAUUUUUGAAUAAAUGAAUAGUAUUUAAAUUAUUCACUCAUUCAAAAUUCAAUCAUUGCUCUGGGAAGGAUGAUAUAAAUGUUACAAGUCAGGAGACCUGCCUUUUCACGUUGUCGACG
rnacentral:ncRNA from 2 species